rnacentral:piRNA from 1 species
UCAAUUGGUAAGGUNCUUGCCUAGCGUGC